AACGGCCAUACCAUGCUGAAUAUACCGGUUCCCGUUAGAUCACCGAAGUUAAGCAUCAUUGGGCGCGGUCAGUACUUGGGUGGGUUCAGUGGUUUGUGGUGCGAACACCGCGUGCCG